rnacentral:piRNA from 1 species
UUGGUGACCCGUGAUGUGAUUUUCUUUC